UUCGAGCCGGGCAAGUACGCGUAGGCGGUAUCGGCGCCCUAGGGGCCGGGCUAGGGAAGGUCCAGGACUCCAGGGGCAGGGCUCUGUGUAGGCCAAUUGGGCGGGGCCAGAUAAGCCAGAGUCCCAGGGUCUUGUUCACGCCCCAUUACCGCUCCCAGGUUCCUCGAUCAAGGUCUGGACGACAACUAUUGCCGGAAUCCUGACGGCUCCGAGCGGCCAUGGUGCUACACUACGGAUCCGCAGAUCGAGCGAGAGUUCUGUGACCUCCCCCGCUGCGGGUCCGAGGCACAACCCCGCCAAGAGGCCACAACUGUCAGCUGCUUCCGCGGGAAGGGUGAGGGCUACCGGGGCACAGCCAAUACCACCACCGCGGGCGUACCUUGCCAGCGUUGGGACGCGCAAAUCCCGCAUCAGCACCGAUUUACGCCAGAAAAAUACGCGUGCAAGUGAGGUGGGGGGGGGGCGGGCGUUGGGACGUGCUGCUGCGGGUGAGACGGGAGGAGGGUAGUCACCGGCUUAGGGCUGGAGGCUGGCGGGCUAGGGCUGAGUGGAGCGCCUGCUUAGAGACCUUCGGGAGAACUUCUGCCGGAACCCCGACGGCUCAGAGGCGCCCUGGUGCUUCACACUGCGGCCCGGCAUGCGCGUGGCCUUUUGCUACCAGAUCCGGCGUUGUGCAGACGACGUGCGGCCCCAGGGUGAGGCCCAAGCUUGGGGGCUACAGAGCCGGGGCUGGAAGCCUGGAACCGGAGGGCCGGGGCGAGGUCUCGGCCUGACGGCUGCCCGCACCCGCCGCAGACUGCUACCACGGCGCAGGGGAGCAGUACCGCGGCACGGUCAGCAAGACCCGCAAGGGUGUCCAGUGCCAGCGCUGGUCCGCUGAGACGCCGCACAAGCCGCAGUGAGUCCCUGGUGCUCCCGGCCUCGCCAGGGCCCUAACCCUGGGGCGGCAUGUUUUGGUGUCUGGGAGCAGAGCCUGGAAAUGGUUGAGACUACCCUGCCACGAUUUUGCUCCCGCUCCCGCCUAGGUUCACGUUUACCUCCGAACCGCAUGCACAACUGGAGGAGAACUUCUGCCGGAACCCAGAUGGGGAUAGCCAUGGGCCCUGGUGCUACACGAUGGACCCAAGAACCCCAUUCGACUACUGUGCCCUGCGACGCUGCGCUGAUGACCAGCCGCCAUCAAUCCUGGACCCCCCAGACCAGGUGCAGUUUGAGAAGUGUGGCAAGAGGGUGGAUCGGCUGGAUCAGCGUCGUUCCAAGCUGCGCGUGGUUGGGGGCCAUCCAGGCAACUCACCCUGGACAGUCAGCUUGCGGAAUCGGCAGGGCCAGCAUUUCUGCGGGGGGUCUCUAGUGAAGGAGCAGUGGAUACUGACUGCCCGGCAGUGCUUCUCCUCCUGCCAUAUGCCUCUCACAGGCUAUGAGGUAUGGUUGGGCACCCUGUUCCAGAAUCCACAGCACGGAGAACCAGGCCUACAGCGGGUCCCAGUAGCCAAGAUGGUGUGUGGGCCCUCAGGCUCCCAGCUUGUCCUGCUCAAGCUGGAGAGAUCUGUGACCCUGAACCAGCGGGUGGCCCUGAUCUGCCUGCCCCCUGAAUGGUAUGUGGUGCCUCCAGGGACCAAGUGUGAGAUUGCAGGCUGGGGUGAGACCAAAGGUACGGGUAAUGACACAGUCCUAAAUGUGGCCUUGCUGAACGUCAUCUCCAACCAGGAGUGCAACAUCAAGCACCGAGGACGUGUGCGGGAGAGCGAGAUGUGCACGGAGGGACUGUUGGCCCCUGUGGGGGCCUGUGAGGGUGACUAUGGAGGCCCACUUGCCUGCUUUACCCACAACUGCUGGGUCCUGGAAGGAAUUAUAAUCCCCAACCGAGUAUGCGCAAGGUCCCGCUGGCCAGCCAUCUUCACGCGUGUCUCUGUGUUUGUGGACUGGAUUCACAAGGUCAUGAGACUGGGUUAGGCCCAGCCUUGACGCCAUAUGCCUUGGGGAGGACAAAACUUCUUGUCAGACA
rnacentral:sRNA from 1 species